AUGAACGCUGGCGGCGUGCCUAAUACAUGCAAGUCGAGCGAACAGACGAGGAGCUUGAUCCUCUGACGUUAGCGGCGGACGGGUGAGUAACACGUGGAUAACCUACCUAUAAGACUGGGAUAACUUCGGGAAACCGGAGCUAAUACCGGAUAAUAUAUUGAACCGCAUGGUUCAAUAGUGAAAGACUGUUUUGCUGUCACUUAUAGAUGGAUCCGCGCCGCAUUAGCUAGUUGGUAAGGUAACGGCUUACCAAGGCAACGAUGCGUAGCCGACCUGAGAGGGUGAUCGGCCACACUGGAACUGAGACACGGUCCAGACUCCUACGGGAGGCAGCAGUAGGGAAUCUUCCGCAAUGGGCGAAAGCCUGACGGAGCAACGCCGCGUGAGAGAUGAAGGUCUUCGGAUCGUAAGACUCUGUUAUUAGGGAAGAACAAAUGUGUAAGUAACUAUGCACGUAUUGACGGUACCUAAACAGAAAGCCACGGCUAACUACGUG
rnacentral:rRNA from 1 species